AAAUCUCAAUUAAGAUAUCUUCUCUCCUGUGUGUGUGCGCGUUGGUGCAUGUGUAUGUACGUGCGUGCGUGCACACGUGUGUGUGUGCGUGUGUGUGUGUCUGUAAGAAAAAAAAAGGUUGAUAAGAACUAGAGAAGAAAUAAAAAAAAAUAUGGAAAUAAAAUAAGAGAAAAGGAAGGAAGGAAAGAAGAGAAAAAGGAGAAAGAAGAAGAAAGCUUCGAAGAGGAAACAAAAC
rnacentral:lncRNA from 1 species